GCACUGGUAUCAACUGUAGAUUUUGAAAUCUUUGCUUAGCAAAUAUCCUGAAACAUAGGCAGCAGCAUUUUUGAGCAAUAAAUUGUUGCUAAUAUUUUGUUCUCGGUAGUCAUUUUCACCAAUCAACAGUGAGUUACUUGGAGCUUUUGCAUGGAACAGUUUCCUUUGGAAGAGGUCAAAAGUGAACUGAAAAAAACCUUUCAAAAAGCUCUGAUAAAUUGUAUUGGCGUGGGAUUGUCAGAAUUACCUCCUUGCUGGCAUAUUGUUCCAAAAAAAUUCUCUAGAGCAUCUGUGUUUAAUCUUCUGUGUGGAACUAUUGACGCAAUCGAAAAGCGAAUCAAAUU